UACGUAGGGUGCAAGCGUUAAUCGGAAUUACUGGGCGUAAAGCGUGCGCAGGCGGCUUUGCAAGACAGAUGUGAAAUCCCCGGGCUUAACCUGGGAACUGCAUUGUGACUGCAUGGCUGGAGUGCGGCAGAGGGGGAUGGAAUUCCGCGUGUAGCGUGAAAUGCGUAGAUAUGCGGAGGAAGCACCGAUGGCGAAGGCAAUCCCCUGGGCCUGCACUGACGCUCAUGCACGAAAGCGUGGGAGCAAACAGG
rnacentral:rRNA from 1 species